GUCUUUAAGAUAUUAAUUUAAAGUCUAGCCUGCCCAAUGAUAAUUUUUAAUGGCCGCAGUAUUUUGACUGUGCAAAGGUAGCAUAAUAAUUAGUUUCUUAAUUAGAAACUGGAAUGAAAGGUUGGACGAGAAAAUAGCUGUCUCUUUAUUAAUUUUUUAGAAUUUUAUUUUUAAGUUAAAAAGCUUAAAUAUAUUUAAAAGACGAGAAGACCCUAUAGAGUUUUAUUAAUUUUUAGAUAAAUUUAUAUAAAUAGAAUUUUUAAAUUUUUAUAUAAAAAUUAAUUUGAUUGGGGUGAUAUAAAAAUUUAAAAAACUUUUUUUUAAAAAAACAUUGAUUUAUGAAUAUUUGAUCCAUUAUUAUGAUUAUAAGAAUAAAUUACCUUAGGGAUAACAGCGUAAUUUCUUUUUAGAGUUCUUAUCAAUAAAGAAGUUUGCGACCUCGAUGUUGGAUUAAAAUUAAGUUUUGGUGUAGAAGCUAAAUUCUUAGGUCUGUUCGACCUUUAAAAUUUUACAUGAUCUGAGUUUAAACCGGUGUGAGCCAGGUUGGUUUCUAUCUUUAAAUAAAUUUUAUAUUUUAGUACGAAAGGACCAGAUAUAAUAAAAAUUUUAUAAAAUUGAAUAUUAAUAAU
rnacentral:rRNA from 1 species